rnacentral:rRNA from 1 species
GAUUAGAGUUUGAUCCUGGCUCAGAACAAACGCUGGCGGCGUGCCUAAUACAUGCAAGUCGAACGGGGAAAGGCUUCGGCCGAGUACUAGUGGCGCACGGGUGAGUAAUGCGUGGAUAAUCUGCCUUCAAGUGGGGGAUAACUAUCCGAAAGGAUGGCUAAUACCGCAUAAGACCACACAGUCUGAGGGCUGAGGGGUUAAAGGUUUUUCGCUUGAAGAUGAGUCCGCGUGAGAUUAGCUAGUUGGUGAGGUAAUGGCUCACCAAGGCUUCGAUCUCUAGCUGGUCUGAGAGGAUGAUCAGCCACACUGGAACUGAGACACGGUCCAGACUCCUACGGGAGGCAGCAGUGGGGAAUUUUGGACAAUGGGCGCAAGCCUGAUCCAGCCAUGCCGCGUGAGUGAAGAAGGCCUUCGGGUUGUAAAGCUCUUUCAGGUGGAAAGAAAACGCAUGGGUCAAUACCCUGUGUGGAUGACGGUACCAUCAGAAGAAGCACG